ACAUGGCCGACGCCGGUCAAAGUGAAGUAUCUGUUCUUAUCACCUUAAUAUCUGAUACGGGUUGCACUUGGACCCAAGAUAUUACACUAAUUUUUGCAAGGACGAGACGGAGUGCUUGAAGCCUGCUUCAUCUCCCCCUCAGGUCGGCCCACUAUCGCACAGUGUUCGAGAUCGGCUAACGCUUU